rnacentral:lncRNA from 10 species
GGCGGUUUCGGCUUUUUGGUCUUUCCUGCUGCCUUGUGAAGAAGGUGCUUGUUUCUUCUUUGCCUUCUGCCAUGAUUGCCAUGUGAAUCGCACCCCUGGAACUGUGCAGGGCCCACCUGUGUGGCCACACGCAGUGACCCUGAGCAAAGGAGUGACCACAGAAGUGCAUGGCAAAGCAGAAAGGUGUGACGUCUUGGAGGACGCGGGAGGAAAGCACGCCCAGCGGACAGGAGCCAUCACGCGGCUGCGGGCUGCUGCUGAGAACCUGGCGUGGGCCACCGUCGUCAGCAGCGUGGAGGUAACUGACGACCUUGGCCAAGAAGUUGGGUGGCAGCGUGGAGGUCAUGCUCAGAGAGCCUGCAGGACCACUGUGGGGCCACUGCCACCCUGUGGGGUGGUCCGGGGAGCCGAGGAGCAUGGACACCGUCUUCUCCUUCCAGCAGGCACAGGACACUUGUUAUUGCAGUCAGAGUCCAUCUGGAUAAUCCUGGAUAAAUCUCAUCUGGAGAUCCUUCACCAGAUCACAUCGGCAAUGACCUGUUCCCCAAAUAAGGCCCUGUGCACAGGUUCUGGGGGAACGCAUAUGCUGCCUCCUUUCUGAUAGGGAGACCCACCCACCUGUUCACCUCUCUGCAUGUGGUCUGCGAGCGGGCUUGGAGCCACAUCUGAAGCCUCACCUCUAGGAGCCAGUUUUGUCUCCUCCUCGUCCCUGCUUCUUAUCAGUCGUGCGGCUGGAUGGCAGAGGUGAUAAAGCUGGGAAGAGAGGCAUCCUGGAAGGGCCCGUGUUAUGAAAACCCAGAGUUUCACUCAGAUCGACAGCUGCGUGGGGGCCGGCGCUCCCGGCAGUGAUUGAGUUACCCUCAGCAGCGGGGUCCCGAGGUCGCAAUCCCUGCUGGGGGAGUGAUUGAUGCCGGACUCCAGGGCCCACCUUGGGUGACCCUGGGAUGUCAAUGAGUGACCGCUGAUUCUGGGCCACUUGGUUCUGGGCCACCCGCAUGUCCAGAGACCUCAAGGUGGGCCGACGUCCAACCAGCGAAGCAGAGCAAUCCUUUUGGAAGCUUCUCUCCACGGGGGGCUGGCUGCUCCUUCAUCACUCCCAUCUGAGGGCUUCUGCUUGCAGCCGUCUGUCACGCUGAGCAGCUCUGUGGUGGAUUCUGUGCUGCUUGCUCUGUGUCUAUUUUGUCAAGAUCGCCAGUCUCUCUGGAUUCUCUCCUCUGGGUUGGCCCACGCUCACUCAUCCGGCUUUGGAAGGACAUUUAUCCUCUAGCUUCCUCCAGGAGGGGGAUUUGUCUUAGAGAGUGGCACUUUCUCUUCCCUCCCCAGCCCCUCGUGCACCUUCUGCAGGGAGGGGAGUCCCCUGGUGCUGAGAGGAGAGGUAGGAGAGCCAGGUAGGGCCUGUGGGAGCCCAGCAGAGGUGCCCUGGCCACCUUGAGUGUCUGAGACUCACGGUCUAUUAAAAAUGGAAAAACAAACUGGGCACCGUGGCUCCUACCUGUAAUUCCAGCACUUUGGGAGGCUGAGGCGGGUGGAUCACUUGAGGUCAGGAGUUCAAGACCAGCCUGACCAAUGUGGUGAAACCUUGUCUCUACUAAAAAUACAAAAGUUAGCUGGGUUUGGUGGUACACACCUGUAAUCCCAGCUACUUGGGAGGCAGAGGCAGGAGAAUCGCUUGGACCUGGAAGGUGGAAGUUGCAGUGAGCAGAGAUUGUGCCACUGCACUCCAGCCUGGGUGACAGAGUGAGACUCUUGUCUCAAAAAAAAAAAACAAACAGAAAAAGAAAAAAGAAAAAAAGGAAAAACAACAAAGUUAGCGCUGAGCAGGGUUUCAGGAUUCUAGACCUGGUUUAAAAUGCAUUGCAUGGAAUAACCUGUUUAAUCUGCAAGUUAACUCUCUGAUACAGCGAGUGGUAUUAUCACAAUUUUGACAAGAUAAAGGCACAAAACAAGAUUUAAGAUUUUUUUUUUAAAAAAGGACAGACACCCAUUAAUUCUAAAUAAUUAAAGAUCAAUUCAUUAUGUACACAUACCGUUGACCCCUGAACAGCGUGGGUUUGUACUGGCUGGGUCCGUUUAUAUGUGGAUUUUCCUCUGCCUCUGCCACCCCUGAGACAGCAAGACCAACCCCUCCUCUUCCUUUUCCUCCUCCUCAGGUUCCUCAAUGUGAAGACGACAACGAUGAAGAUCUUUAUGGCUGGGUUCAGUUUUGGUGUCUCAACACCCGUAAUCUUAGCACUUUGGGAGGCCAAGGUGGAUGGAUGGCUUGAGCCCAAGAGUUUGAGACCAGCUUGAGCAAUGUAGUGAAACCCUAUCUCUACAAAAAACUAGCAGGGCGUGUGCCUGUAGUCCCAGUUACUCGGGAGGCUGAGGUGGGAGGACCUGAGCCCAGGGAGAUUGAGGCUGCAGUGAGCCCUGAUUGCGCCACUGCACUCCAGCCUGGGAGUGCGGUCUCAAAGAAAACCCAGUCUCAAGAAACAAAACAAAACAACCCAAAAAAGAUCUUAAGAUGAUCCACUUCUGCUUAAUGAUCAGUGAAUAUUUUUCCUUAUGAUUUUCUUAAUAACAUUUUCUUUUCUCUAGCUUACUUUAUUGUAAGAAUAUAGUAUAUACUUAUAAAACAGAUAAAAUUUGUGUUAACUGACUGUUUAUGGUAUUGGUAAGGCUUCCGGUCAACAGUAGGCUGUUAGUAAUUAAGUUUUGGGGGAGUCAAAAGUGUAAAGCAAUACACUUUAUGGGGGCAGAGCUCCUAACCCCAGUGCUGUUCAAGGGUCAAUCUAAUUGAACAGCCUCUAAAAAUAUCAAGCAAUACUUACAAAUCCAGGGAGAAAAACAUACAUCAACAAUUGUAGUUGGAGCUUUUAAUGAUCGAACAGAGAAAACAGAUACUGAAGUCUUGAUCAAUACAAUGAGUAAGCUGAAGAUAUGAGAUAUGUAGAGAACUUACCAUUCAUCAGACAGAGGCUAUGCCUUUCCCCCAUGCACGCACACACCAUUUACCAAAAUAGGCCAGACACUGAGCCAUGAAGGAAGUCUCAAUAAAGUUCUAAUAAUUAAUACAAAAUAAACUGCAUUCUCUAAUCACAAAUCAAUGACAUUAAAAUUAACAAAACAAUUUUUUUUAACAACUCCAAUAUUUUGGAAAGUAAUUAAUAUAUUUAUGGAUAGCCCUUGGAAAUGAUCAAGGAAAUUAGGAAGUACAUAGAGUGUAACACGGUGAAACCCCGUCUCUACUAAAAAUACAAAAAAAUUAACUGGGCGUGGUGGUG